UGAAAAGCUGCGAAGAGAAAGAGUACCUUGGCGAAGUCUUUUUACAGAGAGCUCCGGUAGCUGAAAAGGAGUAAAGAAUAACCGAGGGAAUAUGGUCUCAGAGCUGCGCACCGAAGCCCCAUGUGGUUGUAGGCCGCGCCGGAACCCGCAUCCGUUACUGUGCUAGGGUAUAAACGCAAACCGCGUCGUACCUGAAGAGGCUAAUGCCGCAAGGCAUUUUUGAAAUUGGGUGGUACCACGUGAGCGCAACUCUCGUCCCUUUG
rnacentral:ncRNA from 1 species